GAUGAACGCUGGCGGCGUGCCUAAUACAUGCAAGUCGAGCGAACGGACGAGAAGCUUGCUUCUCUGAUGUUAGCGGCGGACGGGUGAGUAACACGUGGAUAACCUACCUAUAAGACUGGGAUAACUUCGGGAAACCGGAGCUAAUACCGGAUAAUAUUUUGAACCGCAUGGUUCAUAAGUGAAAGACGGUCUUGCUGUCACUUAUAGAUGGAUCCGCGCUGCAUUAGCUAGUUGGUAAGGUAACGGCUUACCAAGGCAACGAUGCAUAGCCGACCUGAGAGGGUGAUCGGCCACACUGGAACUGAGACACGGUCCAGACCCCUACGGGAGGCAGCAGUAGGGAAUCUUCCGCAAUGGGCGAAAGCCUGACGGAGCAACGCCGCGUGAGUGAUGAAGGUCUUCGGAUCGUAAAACUCUGUUAUUAGGGAAGAACAUAUGUGUAAGUAACUGUGCACAUCUUGACGGUACCUAAUCAGAAAGCCACGGCUAACUACGUG
rnacentral:rRNA from 1 species